AGCUUUGGUAAAAAAGCAAUAAAAUGAAUAGUAUUUAAUACCAUCACAUUUUAGCUAUAGCGUUCAUUUUAGUGGCAGUGCUAAAGAUGUCAAAAGCCAACAAAGGAGCUCUAGUAAUUGGGGCUUUGGUCACAGCAAUUGGUUUGGCACUUUAUCCUGUUGUGGUUCAUCCCAAAUUGUUCCCACAAAAAUACCAGCAAAUGCAGAAAGAGUACAGAGAAGGAGUGUCUAAAGAUGACAUUCAACCAGGGGGAAUGAAGGUUUGGUCUGAUCCAUUUAAGAAAAAGUAACACCAAAAUAAUCUCACAUGAUGUUCUGAAGAUUUGAUGUCCAAAUUGCAG